rnacentral:rRNA from 1 species
GAGUUUGAUCGUGGCUCAGGAUGAACGCCGGCGGUGUGCCUAAUACAUGCAAGUCGUACGCACUGGCCCAACUGAUUGAUGGUGCUUGCACCUGAUUGACGAUGGAUCACCAGUUGAGUGGCGGACGGUGAGUAACACGUAGGUAACCUGCCCCGGAGCGGGGGAUAACAUUUGGAAACAGAUGCUAAUACCGCAUAACAACAAAGGCCACAUGGCUUUUGUUUGAAAGAUGGCUUUGGCCAUCACUCUGGGAUGGACCUGCGGUGCAUUAGCUAGUUGGUAAGGUAACGGCUUACCAAGGCGAUGAUGCAUAGCCGAGUUGAGAGACUGAUCGGCCA